rnacentral:rRNA from 1 species
UACGUAGGGUGCGAGCGUUGCUCGGAAUCAUUGGGCGUAAAGAGCGUGUAGGCGGCUUUACAGGUCCGUUGUGAAAACUCGAGGCUCAACCUCGAGACGCCGGUGGAAACCGUAAAGCUAGAGUCCGGAAGAGGAGAGUGGAAUUCCCGGUGUAGCGGUGAAAUGCGCAGAUAUCGGGAGGAACACCAGUAGCGAAGGCGACACUCUGGGCCGGUACUGACGCUGAGGAGCGAAAGCGUGGGGAGCAAACAGG